rnacentral:rRNA from 1 species
AGCAGCCGCGGUAAUUCCAGCUCCAAUAGCGUAUAUUAAAGUUGUUGCAGUUAAAAAGCUCGUAGUUGAAUUUCGGGGUUAGUAGGUUGGUCAUGCCUCUGGUAUGUACUGGUCUCACUGAUUCCUCCUUCCUGAUGAACCGUAAUGCCAUUAAUUUGGUGUUGCGGGGAAUUUGGACUGUUACUUUGAAAAAAUUAGAGUGUUUAAAGCAAGCUAACGCUUGAAUACAUUAGCAUGGAAUAAUGAAAUAGGACGUUCGAUCCUAUUUUGUUGGUUUCUAGGAUUGACGUAAUGAUUAAUAGGGAUAGUUGGGGCAUUAGUAUUCAAUUGUCAGAGGUGAAAUUCUUGGAUUUAUUGAAGACUAACUACUGCGAAAGCAUUUGCCAAGGAUGUUUCAUUAAUCAAGAGCGAAAGUUAGGGGAUCGAAGACGAUCAGAUACCGUCGUAGUCUUGACCAUAAACUAUGCCGACUAGGGAUCGGAUGAUGUUAAUUUUUAAUGACUCAUCCGGCGCCUUACGG